AGCAGCCGCGGUAAUUCCAGCUCCAAUAGCGUAUAUUAAAGUUGUUGCAGUUAAAAAGCUCGUAGUUGAAUUUCGGGGUCAGUAAGUUGGUCGUGCCACUGGUAUGUACUGGCUUUACUGAUUCCUCCUUCUUGUAGAACCGUAAUGCCAUUAAGUUGGUGUUGCGGGAAAACAGGACUGUUACUUUGAAAAAUUAGAGUGUUUAAAGCAAGCUAACGCUUGAAUACAUUAGCAUGGAAUAAUGAAAUAGGACGAACGAUCCUAUUUUGUUGGUUUCUAGGAUUGGCGUAAUGAUUAAUAGGGAUAGUUGGGGGCAUUAGUAUUCAAUUGUCAGAGGUGAAAUUCUUGGAUUUAUUGAAGACUAACUACUGCGAAAGCAUUUGCCAAGGAUGUUUUCAUUAAUCAAGAACGAAAGUUAGGGGAUCGAAGACGAUCAGAUACCGUCGUAGUCUUAACCAUAAACUAUGCCGACUAGGGAUCGGAUGAUGUUAAUUUUUUAAUGACUCAUUCGGCGCCUUAC
rnacentral:rRNA from 1 species